GGAGGAGUGGCUGAGUGGCUUAAAGCGCGGGUCUCGAAAACCCGUUGAGGAGUAAUCCUCUCGUGAGUUCAAAUCUCACCUCCUCCGCCC
rnacentral:tRNA from 1 species